CACGGUGCCGCCGCGCAAGCUACGGUGGUCGCGAUCCGCUCCACAGUCGCGCGCCGCGUGUGUUGCCAACGCUUCCACCGGUUCUUCGCCCACCGCAUCGGAUACCUAAGAGAUCUAAUACUCCACUCCUCGACGUCAUGGGCCAGUUUCGUACUUGCUCGUCGUCAGCUUUAACUCAGUCUAAGAUCGUUAACUCCUAAACGGAAGUGGAUUCACUCGGCUAGGAGUGCUCCAGCGUCAUCAGUCUGAGGACACGUGGCGGCUGCAUUUUUCUGUACACGGCAAACAGAACGAAUGAACGCAAGAAAGACUGUGAUCUUCGAGAGGACAAAUCUUCUCUGAUAGCGGCUUGCUGUGUGGCGUCGUGGGUUUGCUGAAACAACUUACAGGAGAAGAAUCAAGG